AAUAAAUUAUCCGUAACCUACAUCGUAAAAAAAUUUAAGUUGCCCAGUGUCUGUGUCUGUAUCUGAUUUAAACAGAGUAGAGAAUAGAGAAAAUAAAAACUAGUCUUAUAAAUAAUUGUCAAUUAAAUAAUAAAUAAACAAACAAAAUGGAUAAUGACAACGAAAAAGAAAAUGUCAAUGAAGUGGAUUAUUAUACAUUUUUAAAUUUACCUAGAAACGCAACAGCUGAAGAAAUUCAACAAGCGUACAGACGUCAGAGUAGACUUUAUCAUCCAGAUAAACACGUGGAUCCAGUUUUAAAAAAGAAAGCUGAGAUUUUAUUUAGUCGUACCAAUAAAGCAUAUGAAGUUCUAAAUGAUCCGCAUCGGAGAGCAAUAUAUGAUUCACUGGGUGUACGUGGAUUAGAAACACAGGGCUGGGAAAUAGUCCAACGUACAAAAACCCCACAAGAAAUAAGAGAAGAGUAUGAGCGUAUUGCUAAAGAACGCGAAGAAAGACGAUUGCAGCAGCGGACAAAUCCAAAGGGUAAUGUCACUGUAUUUAUAAACGCGACAGACAUUUUUAAUAAAUAUGACGAAGACUAUGAAGUCAACGAGGGAAUACUGGGAGGUAUCGAAGUCAGUGGGAUGUCAUUCCAACAGUCAAUCGAAGCCCCCUUGACUUUAAAAGACACAUUGACACUGUAUGGGCAAGUCGAUGCUCAGAAUGGCACCGGUGUAGGAUCGAUAAAUGUGUCUGCCAGAAGGACUUUGUCAUCUAAGAGCUGGAUGGAGUUGGACAUUGGAGCUGGCAACGGCCCUGUUACGACACUAAAAGUUUAUCGUUCACUUGCGCGAAGAUUAUUUUGCACCGGUGCACUUAUGAUGCAAUUUAAGGCUCAUGAAAUCAGGCCAGGAUUAGUUGGAUCUUUAGGAUUACAAUUAGAUAAACAAAGCGUAGGAUAUUUGACAUUUAAAGGCGGAAUUCAAAAUUCAAUGUCUACAAUGAUUGUCCGUGAAACACCUGAAUCUUUCACCUCUUUUACUUUACAAUUUGGGUAUAUAAAUACCUUCGCUAGUUUUAGUUACACUUACAAAAUGGAAGAAAAAAAAAUGAAAUUACGUGGGACACUUAAAGCUGGUACUCUUGGUGCUUACGUUGAAUAUGGGGCGGAAAAAAAAGUAUCUAAACACAGCGCUCUGUCAGCAUCAGUUCGCGUUGGGGUGCCCAGUGGAGUAACACUGAGAAUAAAAUUAAUCCGGGCGACUCAAACUUAUUUAUUCCCGAUUCAUCUGUGCGAGGAAGUAAUACCCUCGCCGAUAUUCUAUGCCACUGUGGCUCCACUUAUCACGUGGACGAUCGUUAAAAAAAUAAUUGUCGAGCCGAUGAUGAAAGAGCAGAAAGACCGGGAGAAAGAAAAGCAGAAGGAGUUGAAUCGCGUUUGGACGCUGCAGAAACAGAGAGAAGCCAAAGCUGCCGUUGAACUUAUGAUGGCAACAUUCAGCAGAAUCAGAGCCGAAGAGGAAGCUAAGCAUGGUUUAGUCAUCACUAAAGCGCUUUAUGGGAGGUUUGUUUAUCCAGAUAGACGGAAUCAACAACAAGAGAUUCCCGAUGACUCGAGGGAUGAUGUAAUCGAUGUUACUAUUCCCUUACAAUGUUUAGUUGUCAAUUCCCGCCUGGUUCUUCACGACGCUUCCAAGAGUGAACUACCGGGAUUUUACGAUCCAUGUUUUGGGGAAGAUAAACAAUUACUAUUACAAUAUUUAUUUCAUAAACAAACUCACGAGUGUCUUGUCAAAGACAAUGAACCUCUGAGAAUACCUUUACAAUUAAUUUCAGAGCAUUAAGGGCGUGUUCGUCAAUAGACUCUGGAAGAGAAAUAUUCAACUCCUACGUUCAGAAAUAUAUCCUCUGGUCAAACCAGAGUUAACGAUUCGGCAUUACAAAGCACAUCGGGUGAAUACUACUUGACGAAAAAAGCGAACUUCAAGAGUAAAGCAAACGGGAUAAUUUUGCAUGCUCAAUUUAUUUCCUUGUUUUAUUUUAAUCAUAAUCGAGUUCGUGUUCAGCCAAAUCCAAUAUAUUGAUUAUGACCAUAAAGUUAAUAAUUAUAUUUUUUGUUAUCUCAGUCAAAUUUAAAAAUUACGGGCUUAAUUUUUUCUUUGUAUUGAUUCAUUUUUAUCAAGUUUUUCAUUUAUAUGAGGCAUUGUAUUUUUUUUGUGAUGAAAAAAAAAUAUAUAAUGUUAGUGUACUGAUAGAUUGUAUAGAAAUAAAACUAAUAAACAAUUUGCAGUAGCAAUUUUUAAAAGUGUUCCGGUUAAACUUCCAUUGCUCUUAUAUUAAUAUAGAUUCACAAAAAUAUAUGAUGUUUAAAUAAUUGUAAAAAAAUUAAUUUACAAUAUUCACUCGCACUUACGAGGGUCAAAAACACGAGUUAUAUUUUUCAUGUCUGAAUAAAAUGAUAGUUCAUUUUAAUAAUUGGUGUAUAUUAAAUAUAUAGGCGUAAAUAUAUAAAAUAUAAAUAUUUGUCGUAUAUGUAAACAAUUAAACGUUUGUUUUUUUUUUUUAAUUUAUACCAAGCAUAUUAAAAUGUUAUACAAGUGAAAUAUUUACAGUGAUUAGUAAUUAAUUAAUAAUAUAAUUAUUUUAAUAGUCGAUACUCAUAACUUCCAGAGGAUUCAGUGCUUGAUUUUUGCACAAAAAUUUAUCAAAUAUAUUUAAUUCAGCGUCUUUGGACUUUAUUUGUGAUACUGGUGUCCAAGAUUGGUCAUGUUCUAAUCUGUACGAACCUUUGUAGAGUUGUAGUGGUGCAUUAUCGCCCCAUUCCUAAAAUAAAAUCAGUACUGUAAUAAUGUAAAUAUAUUAAAUAAAUAAAAUAUAUAUAUAUUAAUGUA